rnacentral:rRNA from 1 species
CUACGGGAGGCAGCAGUGAGGAAUAUUGGGCAAUGCCCGGAAGGGUGACCCAGCAACGCCGCGUGGAGGAUGAAGGUCGUAAGAUUGUAAACUCCUGUUAGAGGGGACGAAUAGCCGUGAUUCGUAAGGAUCAUGGUUUGACUGUACCCUCAGAGAAAGCCCCGGCUAACUACGUGCCAGCAGCCGCGGUAAUACGUAGGGGGCAAGCGUUGUCCGGAUUUACUGGGUGUAAAGGGCGCGCAGGCGGGCUUGUAAGUCGGUGGUGAAAGCCUGUGGCUUAACUACAGAACUGCCAUUGAUACUACAAGUCUUGAGUGCGGAAGAGAGAGACGGAAUUCCAGGUGUAGUGGUGAAAUACGUAGAUAUCUGGAAGAACACCAGUUGCGAAGGCGGUCUCUUGGUCCGUUACUGACGCUCAGGCGCGAAAGCGUGGGUAGCAAACAGGAUUAGAUACCCCGGU